rnacentral:rRNA from 1 species
UACGUAGGUGGCGAGCGUUGUCCGGAUUUACUGGGCGUAAAGGGAGCGUAGGCGGAUUUUUAAGUGAGAUGUGAAAUACUCGGGCUCAACUUGAGUGCUGCAUUUCAAACUGGAAGUCUAGAGUGCGGGAGAGGAGAAUGGAAUUCCUAGUGUAGCGGUGAAAUGCGUAGAGAUUAGGAAGAACACCAGUGGCGAAGGCGAUUCUCUGGACUGUAACUGACGCUGAGGCUCGAAAGCGUGGGGAGCAAACAGG